UUUCUGCUUGGACUUUGACUACAAAUGGAAUAUGAAAGACUGGAGUGAAGGGUAGUUGGUAAAGGAAGACAUUACAGAUCCAGCAAGGAGCCUCCCAGAUGGAGUACAUGGAGACCAUGACUGUGAAAGAUGAGGAUCAAGUGCAGAUUUGGUGGCCUCUGAUUGCCAGUAUCUGGCAGCCACAUUCUCUUCCCACAAGAUGUGCUGGAAAUAUGACCAAGCAGAAGUUCACUUAAGUGAAUCCAACAGUUAAACCUACCAUGGAAGGGUGUGGUGCACAGAGGGCAUGUGGAGAAGAGAAGACCACAGUGGGAACCUCCAAGGAACUAACAUCUAGCUGGGGAUGAGGGGGGAUUUGGCUAUGUAGAGAGUAAAUAAAGUGAUAUGAGAAUUAAAGUAAGGGGCCAGUUAUUUCCAAAUGGGGAAAUGGGGCAGGCUUCAUGGAGAAGGGAACGUUUAAUCUGGGUCACAUGGAAUGAAUAGGACUGGAAAUGGAGUUUAUAAGAGCGAGAAUAUUUUACUUAGAGGAAACUACAUUUAAAGAAAGGAUGGCUGUGUAGGUGUAUUGCUUCUUUGCAGAUACAUACAAUUUAAUAUGCCUGGAGUGCAGAUUCUAUGUGACUGAGGUGAGUAGGGACAAAGGGAGAGAUGAUUCAGAGAGGCAGAUAGAGGAAAAUCAUGCAGGGCUUAAUUUCUAGGAUAAAAGUUGGUGACUUUUUCAUGGGUGUGUGUGUCAGGGAAGAGGGUAAAAUUAUAGUGAGUAAAAGCACAGACUUUGGGAUCAAAGUAAUGGGUUUCCAUCAUGACUCUGCUUCUCCCUGGUGAUAUCAACUUGUGUGAAUAUGUAAUGACUCUGACCUUCAGUUUUUUCAUCAAUAAAUGAUAAGCAAUAAUACUAAUUUAAUAGAGACUUUCUGAGGAACAAAUAAGACUAUGUACCCAAAGGACUUAGAUUAGGACCUGCCACUCAGUAACAACACUCAGUAGAUGUGAUCAUGCUAUAGAGGACAGAAAUUCCUCUAAUCCCAACACAGACACUCUCUUUAGCUGCAAAUAUGAUGUCCCCUCUCCCCUAGAUAAGGCAAACUGAUCCUGCUGGGCCUAGCUGGUUGCCAGAUGGAUUAGAACACUGGACUCAGAACAGACUUCCAUGAUAUCUUUAAGAAAAACUCACAUCAAAGUCAUGUAGAAUGUACAAUAGAAUUAUCAAUGAGGAAGGGAGAAUCUGGAAAGAAGGCAACCAAAAGCCAAAGG
rnacentral:lncRNA from 1 species